rfam:Oryza punctata chromosome 10, whole genome shotgun sequence.
GAAGACGGCAGUUUUACACUAUUCAUAUCCAACGUUUGAUCAUCUAUCUUAUUUGAAAAAAAUUAUGAUUAGUAUUUUUAUUAUUAUACGAUAAAACAUGAAUAGUAUUUUAUGUGUGACUUUUUUAUUUUUUAUAAUUUUUUUAAAUAAGACGGACGAUCAAACGUUGGAUAGGGAAAUCUACAACUGCACUUAAA